rnacentral:misc_RNA from 1 species
GAUGAAGAACGCAGCGAAAUGCGAUACUUGGUGUGAAUUGCAGAAUCCCGUGAACCAUCGAGUCUUUGAACGCAAGUUGCGCCCGAAGCCAUUAGGCCGAGGGCACGCCUGCCUGGGCGUCACACGUCGUUGCCCCCCCAUCUACUCCUUCGGGAUUGCGGGGGGCGGAUGAUGGCCUCUCGUGCGCCUCGUCGCGCGGUUGGCCUAAAUGCCAAGUCCUCGGCGACGCACGCCACGACAAUCGGUGGUUGCGAAACCUCGGUUGCCUGUCGUGUGCGGUCGUCGCGCAUCGAGGGCUCGAAAAAAUUGCCGGGCUUCGGCUCGACUUUCAACGCGACCCCAGGUCAGGCGGGGUUACCCGCUGAAUUUAAGCAUAUCAAAAGCGGAGGA